GUUGUAGCUCAGUGGUAGAGCACUUGCCUAGCAUGAGGAGGCACUGGGUUCAAUUCUCAGCAUAUA
rnacentral:tRNA from 1 species